rnacentral:rRNA from 1 species
AGUGAGCGCUGGCGGUAGGCCUAACACAUGCAAGUCGAACGGCAGCACAGGAGAGCUUGCUCUCUGGGUGGCGAGUGGCGGACGGGUGAGGAAUACAUCGGAAUCUACUCUGUCGUGGGGGAUAACGUAGGGAAACCUACGCUAAUACCGCAUACGACCUACGGGUGAAAGCAGGGGACCUUCGGGCCUUGCGCGAUUGAAUGAGCCGAUGUCGGAUUAGCUAGUUGGCGGGGUAAAGGCCCACCAAGGCGACGAUCCGUAGCUGGUCUGGGAGGAUGAUCAGCCACACUGGAACUGAGACACGGUCCAGACUCCUACGGGAGGCAGCAGUGGGGAAUAUUGGACAAUGGGCGCAAGCCUGAUCCAGCCAUACCGCGUGGGUGAAGAAGGCCUUCGGGUUGUAAAGCCCUUUUGUUGGGAAAGAAAUCCAGCUGGCCAAUACCCGGUUGGGAUGACGGUACCCAAAGAAUAAGCACCGGCUAACUUCGUGCCAGCAGCCGCCGUAA